rnacentral:rRNA from 1 species
GUGACUGCGUACCUUUUGUAUAAUGGGUCAGCGACUUAUAUUCUGUAGCAAGGUUAACCGAAUAGGGGAGCCGAAGGGAAACCGAGUCUUAACUGGGCGUUAAGUUGCAGGGUAUAGACCCGAAACCCGGUGAUCUAGCCAUGGGCAGGUUGAAGGUUGGGUAACACUAACUGGAGGACCGAACCGACUAAUGUUGAAAAAUUAGCGGAUGACUUGUGGCUGGGGGUGAAAGGCCAAUCAAACCGGGAGAUAGCUGGUUCUCCCCGAAAGCUAUUUAGGUAGCGCCUCGUGAAUUCAUCUCCGGGGGUAGAGCACUGUUUCGGCAAGGGGGUCAUCCCGACUUACCAACCCGAUGCAAACUGCGAAUACCGGAGAAUGUUAUCACGGGAGACACACGGCGGGUGCUAACGUCCGUCGUGAAGAGGGAAACAACCCAGACCGCCAGCUAAGGUCCCAAAGUCAUGGUUAAGUGGGAAACGAUGUGGGAAGGCCCAGACAGCCAGGAUGUUGGCUUAGAAGCAGCCAUCAUUUAAAGAAAGCGUAAUAGCUCACUGGUCGAGUCGGCCUGCGCGGAAGAUGUAACGGGGCUAAACCAUGCACCGAAGCUGCGGCAGCGACGCUGAUGCGUUGUUGGGUAGGGGAGCGUUCUGUAAGCCUGUGAAGGUGUGCUGUGAGGCAUGCUGGAGGUAUCAGAAGUGCGAAUGCUGACAUAAGUAACGAUAAAGCGGGUGAAAAGCCCGCUCGCCGGAAGACCAAGGGUUCCUGUCCAACGUUAAUCGGGGCAGGGUGAGUCGACCCCUAAGGCGAGGCCGAAAGGCGUAGUCGAUGGGAAACAGGUUAAUAUUCCUGUACUUGGUGUUACUGCGAAGGGGGGACGGAGAAGGCUAUGUUGGCCGGGCGACGGUUGUCCCGGUUUAAGCGUGUAGGCUGGUUUUCCAGGCAAAUCCGGAAAAUCAAGGCUGAGGCGUGAUGACGAGGCACUACGGUGCUGAAGCAACAAAUGCCCUGCUUCCAGGAAAAGCCUCUAAGCAUCAGGUAACAUCAAAUCGUACCCCAAACCGACACAGGUGGUCAGGUAGAGAAUACCAAGGCGCUUGAGAGAACUCGGGUGAAGGAACUAGGCAAAAUGGUGCCGUAACUUCGGGAGAAGGCACGCUGAUAUGUAGGUGAAGUCCCUCGCGGAUGGAGCUGAAAUCAGUCGAAGAUACCAGCUGGCUGCAACUGUUUAUUAAAAACACAGCACUGUGCAAACACGAAAGUGGACGUAUACGGUGUGACGCCUGCCCGGUGCCGGAAGGUUAAUUGAUGGGGUCAGCGCAAGCGAAGCUCUUGAUCGAAGCCCCGGUAAACGGCGGCCGUAACUAUAACGGUCCUAAGGUAGCGAAAUUCCUUGUCGGGUAAGUUCCGACCUGCACGAAUGGCGUAAUGAUGGCCAGGCUGUCUCCACCCGAGACUCAGUGAAAUUGAACUCGCUGUGAAGAUGCAGUGUACCCGCGGCAAGACGGAAAGACCCCGUGAACCUUUACUAUAGCUUGACACUGAACAUUGAGCCUUGAUGUGUAGGAUAGGUGGGAGGCUUAGAAGUGUGGACGCCAGUCUGCAUGGAGCCGACCUUGAAAUACCACCCUUUAAUGUUUGAUGUUCUAACGUUGACCCGUAAUCCGGGUUGCGGACAGUGUCUGGUGGGUAGUUUGACUGGGGCGGUCUCCUCCUAAAGAGUAACGGAGGAGCACGAAGGUUGGCUAAUCCUGGUCGGACAUCAGGAGGUUAGUGCAAUGGCAUAAGCCAGCUUGACUGCGAGCGUGACGGCGCGAGCAGGUGCGAAAGCAGGUCAUAGUGAUCCGGUGGUUCUGAAUGGAAGGGCCAUCGCUCAACGGAUAAAAGGUACUCCGGGGAUAACAGGCUGAUACCGCCCAAGAGUUCAUAUCGACGGCGGUGUUUGGCACCUCGAUGUCGGCUCAUCACAUCCUGGGGCUGAAGUAGGUCCCAAGGGUAUGGCUGUUCGCCAUUUAAAGUGGUACGCGAGCUGGGUUUAGAACGUCGUGAGACAGUUCGGUCCCUAUCUGCCGUGGGCGCUGGAGAACUGAGGGGGGCUGCUCCUAGUACGAGAGGACCGGAGUGGACGCAUCACUGGUGUUCGGGUUGUCAUGCCAAUGGCACUGCCCGGUAGCUAAAUGCGGAAGAGAUAAGUGCUGAAAGCAUCUAAGCACGAAACUUGCCCCGAGAUGAGUUCUCCCUGACUCCUUGAGAGUCCUGAAGGAACGUUGAAGACGACGACGUUGAUAGGCCGGGUGUGUAAGCGCAGCGAUGCGUUGAGCUAACCGGUACUAAUGAACCGUGAGGCUUAACCUUACAACGCCGAAG